rnacentral:rRNA from 1 species
AUUGAACGCUGGCGGAAUGCUUUACACAUGCAAGUCGAACGGUAGAGGGGGCAACCCCUCGAGAGUGGCGAACGGGUGAGUAAUAUAUCGGAACGUGCCCAGCCGUGGGGGAUAACGUAGCGAAAGUUACGCUAAUACCGCAUACGAUCUAAGGAUGAAAGCGGGGGAUCGCAAGACCUCGCGCGAUUGGAGCGGCCGAUAUCAGAUUAGGUAGUUGGUGGGGUAAAGGCUCACCAAGCCAACGAUCUGUAGCUGGUCUGAGAGGACGAGCAGCCACACUGGAACUGAGACACGGUCCAGACUCCUACGGGAGGCAGCAGUGGGGAAUUUUGGACAAUGGACGCAAGUCUGAUCCAGCCAUUCCGCGUGCAGGAUGAAGGCCCUCGGGUUGUAAACUGCUUUUGUACGGAACGAAAAGGUCUCUCUUAAUACGGGGGACUCAUGACGGUACCGUAAGAAUAAGCACCGGCUAACUACGUGCCAGCAGCCGCCGUAACAC